AUCAUUUCUAGCCCUUUUGGCUGAGAUCAAGUGUAGUAUGUUAUUAUCAGUUUGAUAUCUGACACAUCCUCUUCCCGAGGAUGUUAUCUUCAAUGAAAUUUUAAAGCUGGCAGGUGGAAUAAGAGUUUGCUCCACCCACUCCGAGCAUCAACCUGGUAUUGUGGUACUUCUACAAAUGGUGCACCACCU